GGCCAGGCAGCUGCAGUUUGGGGAAGCUGAAGGAUGUGUGUGAGCAGUCAGUCAGCAGGAGCAGCUAAAUGCUAAUGCUAACACUACACUGACCAGAGGAGGACCAGAGCAGUCUCUACAGCUACUCUUCAGACCAACCACACUUUCCAGCGGACUGUCCUAAUGAUGCUUCUCCCGUGUCUCAGCAAAGUGCCAGUCCCUUGGCUCCAGCACCAGUUGGCCUUGGAUGGACAAGUUACACCUAAAUGACCACUGAUGACCAAUUAUUUCUCUGAAUGCUACUGAUUUCCGUUUAAAAGAAGGAAGGACUGCUGAAGGACUGCUGGUCUCAAGGCCUGACCCAGUUCAUCAAAGACAAAGGAGCAGAGAGGCCGGGUGUGAAAGAAGACGCUGCUGUGUGAUACACACACUCUCCUGGGUUGAGAUGGGGAGCGCUGGCGGCGUGAGCUGACAGUGCAGGACAGUGAGGAAUGCUGUGAAAGUGGGCCGCUUGCUGAAUUCAGCACUUUGCUCGGCUCUCGCUGCUGCGGCUGCAACACAAAAGACUUCGGUGCUACAGGCCUCACUGGUUAGUUCU
rnacentral:lncRNA from 1 species